rnacentral:rRNA from 1 species
UCGAGAAUUUUUCUCAAUGGGGGAAACCCUGAAGGAGCGACGCCGCGUGGAGGAUGAAGGUCUUCGGAUUGUAAACUCCUGUCAUUUGAGAACAAGGGUGAGCAAGUAACUACUGCCCACUUGAUAGUAUCAGAAGAGGAAGGGACGGCUAACUCUGUGCCAGCAGCCGCGGUAAUACAGAGGUCCCAAGCGUUGUUCGGAUUCAUUGGGCGUAAAGGGUGCGUAGGUGGCGCCAUAAGUCAGGUGUGAAAUUUCGGAGCUUAACUCCGAAACUGCAUUUGAUACUGUGGUGCUUGAGGACUGGAGAGGAGACUGGAAUUUACGGUGUAGCAGUGAAAUGCGUAGAGAUCGUAAGGAAGACCAGUGGCGAAGGCGGGUCUCUGGACAGUUCCUGACACUGAGGCACGAAGGCCAGGGGAGCAAACGGGAUUAGAUACCCGCGUAGUCC